AGGCGGUUGGUUUAAGAUCUAACACUGGCCGGNUCGUUUUACAGCUCCUGCUCGCGGGGAGGUCUUGCUCCUCCUCGGCGGCGGGUGAUUGCUUGAUCUGCCUUGGGGGACAACAUUCCGAAAGGAAUGCUAAUACCAGCAUACCGUCCUACGAGGAGAAAGCAGGAGAUCUUCGGACCUUGCGCUAAAUGAUGAGCCUAAGUCGGAUUAGCUAGUUGGUGGGGUAAAGGCCUACCAAGGCGACGAUCUGUAGCGGGUACUAGAGAGGAUGAUCCGCACACUGGGACUGAGACACGGCCCAAGACUCCUACGGGAGGCAGCAGUGGGGAAUAUUGGACAAUGGGCGGAAGCCUUGAUCCAGGCCAUGCCUGCGUAGUGUAGAACGAAGGGCUUUUAGGUUCGUAAAGGCACUUUAAGCGAGUGAGGAGUGCUACUAGUACUAAUACUACUAGGAUAGUUGGACGGUUAA
rnacentral:rRNA from 1 species